rnacentral:rRNA from 1 species
UACGUAGGUGGCGAGCGUUUGUCCGGAUUUACUGGGCGUAAAGAGCGCGCAGGCGGUCGUGCAAGUCGCGUGUGAAAGCCCCCGGCUCAACUGGGGAGGGUCACGCGAUACUGCUCGACUCGAAGGCAGGAGAGGGAAGUGGAAUUCCGAGUGUAGAGGUGAAAUUCGUAGAUAUUACGGAAGAACACCAGUGGCGAAGGCGACUUACUGGACACAUAUUGACGCUGAGGUGCGAAAGCGUGGGGAGCAAACAGGAU